rfam:Erythranthe guttata cultivar DTN x IM62 scaffold_277_contig_5, whole genome shotgun sequence.
AGACCAUGAUUGGGGCAUCUCCGAAUUAAUUGUUUGAACCGCUCCCACGUCUCGAAUAACGCUUCACCGGCAUCUUGUAUGAAAUUUUGUAUUUCUCUUCGGAUUCU